rnacentral:rRNA from 1 species
UACGUAGGGUGCGAGCGUUAAUCGGAAUUACUGGGCGUAAAGCGUGCGCAGGCGGCGGCUCAAGUCAGGUGUGAAAUCCCCGGGCUUAACCUGGGAAUUGCGCUUGAAACUAGGUCGCUAGAGUGUGGCAGAGGGGGGUGGAAUUCCGCGUGUAGCAGUGAAAUGCGUAGAGAUGCGGAGGAACACCGAUGGCGAAGGCAGCCCCCUGGGCUGACACUGACGCUCAGGCACGAAAGCGUGGGGAGCAAACAGG